CCUGCAUCAGGAGUUUCAAACUAAAGAACGUAUGUUUAAGGACAUCUGAUGAAUGAAAUCACCCUCAUGGCAGAGGUGUCUGUCCAGGAAGGUCUGACCUUUUCACAGCAGACAUCACUGUCAGUCUGCCUCUGAGAAACCCUGCACCAGGAUCCUUGCUUGCUCCCUCUGCUGAGCGAAGCCACUCGUGACACUUUGCUGCCCACUGUUGUACUACAGAAGUCAAGCGAAACUCUGCUGGUGAAUGCUGACAUUGAUCUACGCAGCAUCAACAUUCGCACUUGGGAGGGAUGUUAGACUACGGUGCUGGGCUCCCAAAACUGCAGCUUCUGCCUGAAUGCAUCAAAGAUGACCCACCCAAAGAAGAGUCUUAGAGUUGGAAGGUUGACUGUUUCUCAUCACACAAGGGAUUCUACAGAUGUUGGAAAUCCGGAGCAACACACACAAAAUGCUAGCACAACUCAGCACGUCAGGCUGCACCUAUGGAGAGGAAGAAACUGCCGACAUUUUGGGCCAAGUCCCUUGGGGAAGAAGGCAAA